GUGGGUAGUUUGACUGGGGCGGUCUCCUCCUAAAGAGUAACGGAGGAGCACGAAGGUUGGCUAAUCCUGGUCGGACAUCAGGAGGUUAGUGCAAUGGCAUAAGCCAGCUUGACUGCGAGCGUGACGGCGCGAGCAGGUGCGAAAGCAGGUCAUAGUGAUCCGGUGGUUCUGAAUGGAAGGGCCAUCGCUCAACGGAUAAAAGGUACUCCGGGGAUAACAGGCUGAUACCGCCCAAGAGUUCAUAUCGACGGCGGUGUUUGGCACCUCGAUGUCGGCUCAUCACAUCCUGGGGCUGAAGUAGGUCCCAAGGGUAUGGCUGUUCGCCAUUUAAAGUGGUACGCGAGCUGGGUUUAGAACGUCGUGAGACAGUUCGGUCCCUAUCUGCCGUGGGCGCUGGAGAACUGAGGGGGGCUGCUCCUAGUACGAGAGGACCGGAGUGGACGCAUCACUGGUGUUCGGGUUGUCAUGCCAAUGGCACUGCCCGGUAGCUAAAUGCGGAAGAGAUAAGUGCUG
rnacentral:rRNA from 1 species